GACGAACGCUGGCGGCGUGCCUAAUACAUGCAAGUAGAACGCUGAAGAGAGGAGCUUGCUCUUCUUGGAUGAGUUGCGAACGGGUGAGUAACGCGUAGGUAACCUGCCUUGUAGCGGGGGAUAACUAUUGGAAACGAUAGCUAAUACCGCAUAACAAUGUAUGACACAUGUCAUUUAUUUGAAAGGGGCAAUUGCUCCACUACAAGAUGGACCUGCGUUGUAUUAGCUAGUAGGUGAGGUAAUGGCUCACCUAGGCGACGAUACAUAGCCGACCUGAGAGGGGGAUCGGCCACACUGGGACUGAGACAAGGCCCAGACUCCUACGGGAGGCAGCAGUAGGGAAUCUUCGGCAAUGGGGGCAACCCUGAACGAGCAACGCCGCGUGAGUGAAGAAGGGUUUCGGAUCGUAAAGCUCUGUUGUAAGUCAAGAAAGGGUGUGAGAGUGGAAAGUUCACACUGUGACGGUAGCUUACCAGAAAGGGACGGCUAACUACGUG
rnacentral:rRNA from 1 species